rnacentral:rRNA from 1 species
UUGGCUUUACCCGAAGGUGGUGCGCUAACCGCAAGGAGGCAGCCGGCCACGGUAGGGUCAGCGACUGGGGUGAAGUCGUAACAAGGUAGCCGUAGGUGAACCUGCAGAAGGAUCA